CGGGAUAAGGUUUCCGUAGGUGACCUGCGGAAGGAUCAUUA
rnacentral:rRNA from 1 species